rnacentral:misc_RNA from 1 species
GAACGCACAUUGCGCCCGCCAGCAUUCUGGCGGGCAUGCCUGCCCGAGCGUCAUUUCAACCCUCGCACGCCCCUCUGGGGGCGGCGGUGUUGGGGACCGGCCGCCCAGCGGCCGCCCCCGAAAUGCAGUGGCGGUCCCGCCGGCGCCUCCCCCGCGUAGUAGCACACACCUCGCGGACCGGGAGCGACGACGGGCCCAACGCCGUAAAACCCCCCCAACUGAAGGCCUCCGGGCCGAAGAGUUUGACCUCGGAUCAGGUAGGAAUACCCGCUGAACUUAAGC